rfam:Ixodes scapularis strain Wikel colony gcontig_1108378300386, whole genome shotgun sequence.
UCCUUGUUUGCUCAAUUGGUAGAGCGCUGCGCUGCAAAUUUAGAGAUCCCGGGUUCGAUACCCAGACCAGGCG